UUUUAUGGUAGGUUGCGUGGAGGCCCUUCGGGGCGCCGAUCUCGGACCGGUAGUGCAAACUCCAUGUAGCCUGCCACCCAA
rnacentral:antisense_RNA from 1 species